rnacentral:rRNA from 1 species
UAGAGUUUGAUCAUGGCUCAGAUUGAACGCUGGCGGCAGGCCUAACACAUGCAAGUCGAGCGGUAGAGAGAAGCUUGCUUCUCUUGAGAGCGGCGGACGGGUGAGUAAUGCCUAGGAAUCUGCCUGGUAGUGGGGGAUAACGUUCGGAAACGGACGCUAAUACCGCAUACGUCCUACGGGAGAAAGCAGGGGACCUUCGGGCCUUGCGCUAUCAGAUGAGCCUAGGUCGGAUUAGCUAGUUGGUGGGGUAAUGGCUCACCAAGGCGACGAUCCGUAACUGGUCUGAGAGGAUGAUCAGUCACACUGGAACUGAGACACGGUCCAGACUCCUACGGGAGGCAGCAGUGGGGAAUAUUGGACAAUGGGCGAAAGCCUGAUCCAGCCAUGCCGCGUGUGUGAAGAAGGUCUUCGGAUUGUAAAGCACUUUAAGUUGGGAGGAAGGAUUGUAGAUUAAUACUCUGCAAUUUUGACGUUACCGACAGAAUAAGCACCGGCUAACUCUGUGCCAGCAGCCGCGGUAAUACAGAGGGUGCAAGCGUUAAUCGGAAUUACUGGGCGUAAAGCGCGCGUAGGUGGUUUGUUAAGUUGGAUGUGAAAUCCCCGGGCUCAACCUGGGAACUGCAUUCAAAACUGACUGACUAGAGUAUGGUAGAGGGUGGUGGAAUUUCCUGUGUAGCGGUGAAAUGCGUAGAUAUAGGAAGGAACACCAGUGGCGAAGGCGCCCCC